GGGGAUGAAUUUUGGUUUCGACGGGGAUUUGGAAUUUAGAAUAGCGAGCCGGGUCGAUGGAUACGUCACAUCUGUCAAAAAAUAUAAACGCAGAAAACAAUAAUUUUGCAUACGCUGCCUAGUUAGGCGGCUCUCAAUAUAGAGUUUUCUCGUUCGGCUUUAUAUUGGGUCAACUUAGACGAGAAAAUCUUUUAGCCAAGCUUAAAAGCUAAAAGAUUAUUUCAAAGCUAGCUAAGACUUUAUUUUGCUUUUUAAAUUGGUCUUAGUGAAGUUUGAUAAAAAGCUGCGCUCGGAGAAGUUCUUUAGGAAGGGUUUUCGGACAGGGGUUCGACUCCCCUCAUCUCCACCA
rnacentral:tmRNA from 1 species